UGGGGAAUAUUGGACAAUGGGCGAAAGCCUGAUCCAGCAAUGCCGCGUGAGUGAUGAAGGCCCUAGGGUUGUAAAGCUCUUUUACCAGGGAUGAUAAUGACAGUACCUGGAGAAUAAGCUCCGGCUAACUCCGUGCCAGCAGCCGCGGUAAUACGGAGGGAGCUAGCGUUGUUCGGAAUUACUGGGCGUAAAGCGUACGUAGGCGGUUAUUCAAGUCAGAGGUGAAAGCCCGGGGCUCAACCCCGGAACGGCCUUUGAAACUAGGUAGCUAGAAUCUUGGAGAGGUCAGUGGAAUUCCGAGUGUAGAGGUGAAAUUCGUAGAUAUUCGCAAGAACACCAGUGGCGAAGGCGGCUCACUGGCCCGGUACUGACGCUGAGGUGCGAAAGCGUGGGGAGCAAACAGGAUUAGAUACCCCUGUAGUCCCUGAGCGGGCUGGCAAGGCGCAU
rnacentral:rRNA from 1 species